rnacentral:rRNA from 1 species
UACGUAGGGUGCGAGCGUUAAUCGGAAUUACUGGGCGUAAAGCGUGCGCAGGCGGCGCGUUAAGACGGGUGUGAAAGCCCCGAGCUUAACUUGGGAAUUGCGCUUGUGACUGGCGUGCUGGAGUGUGGCAGAGGGAGGUGGAAUUCCACGUGUAGCAGUGAAAUGCGUAGAGAUGUGGAGGAACACCGAUGGCGGAAGGCAGCCUCCG